UUUGCAAUGUCGUUCUGAGUUCUCGAUCUGUUUUCUGCCUAUUUUGACGAUUCACUCUGUUUUUAAGGGUAUAAAUUCUGCUUCAGAGAGGGCUUCACCAUCUUUGUGGUUCCUCCAAUAACCAGUUCGGUGUUUUCUUUAUCUUCAGAUUCGACAAAGGUGGGUAUUCAAUCGGUUGCAAUGGUAGUAGAAGGUUGUAGAAUCCGGCUGAGCACGUGGCAGCAGGUGGCGGUGGCAUUGGGAUCGGUGGUGGAGGCUUCGUUGGCUCCGCUAAGUACAGAUUUGAUAGCCGCUCAAAUAUGAAACGUAGUCGUCGAGAAGAACAAGGUCUAUUUGCUGUUUGGAAAUAUCUAUUUUUAUUUCAAAAUGUUGGCUUUGGUAUGGUUUUAAACACGAUGUGUUCUUUCCGUUAAAGUUUGUAAUCUUGCAUGUCUCUGUUCGUUUUGUUUUAAAGAUAUAUUUUAUGAGGCAGGUAGACAUAAUUUCAUUUUCAUUCUAUUUCAAAAUUUGUAGAAUUUUUAUUGGUAUUUGAGCUUCUUGAGUAUCAUGUUAUUGAGAAUUAUGUGUUUGAGAUUAAGAAACACAAUGCAACUGCUGAGUUAUUGGGAAUUUUUGGUAGUGAAAAUGUCAAAAAUGCUAUCUUUAUACAUUUUAUACAAGGGGAUGGAAGGGAAUGGUAUUGUGCGGCGCCGCUCCUUCUUACCAAAUACUUUGUACAUGAUAAUGGGUAAGUUAUUUUUAGAUCAUGCAAUCAUUACCCAGUAAACAGAAAAGUCAGUUAUUUAAACCAAGCUCUAAAAGAUUGAUUCUUUUCGUUAUGUGGUCCUUCUCUUCAUAGACUUUGUUUGGCAUCACUUUUCUUUUUCUUCAAUUUUAUGCCCCUUCCCGAUGACAAUGCUCAAUGUUUUGUUCAUAUGGUAAGAAUUGAAAAUUUUGAAACUAGAAUUGAUAAAUCAUUCAAUCAUUACCCACUAACCAUAAACUUUAGUUAUUUAUUGUUGGCUCAAAAAGCUUGAUUCUUUUCAAUAUUUAGUUUCUCUUCUCUUCUCCUUUGAGGUCAUGGACACAACAAAUCCUGUCGGGUUUGUGAAUGCCCAGGUCCUUCCAAUUUUAUACGAAAGAAUGCGUGAACUGUGGUUCAGGUGAAUAUUUCUGAAGGUGAGGUUACCGCUGCAAAAUCCACUGGUGAUUCUCAGAUAACCAUGAAAAAGCAGCUACAAGUCCCUCUCAUGAACUAUAUUGAGGAUUUGAGGUUCAAUUGAAUGUCAAGUGAUCUGGAGAGACAAUCAAUGACAUACAUCUAUGCCCACAAUGCAAGAGAGAGAAAUGAGAAAGAAGAAGGUUUAGGAAUCUUCAUAUGCUCUUUUUAGUCUUGGGGAACAGACAGUAUGAUAAUUUUAACAUGGUUUGCAUUUAAAAUUCUGCUUUUUUUAUGAAUUUAUAAGCUUUGAGUCCAGUGAUAGAGUUGCUACUUCCUGUGCUAUAUCUCAUCCCUAUGUGAAUUGAUUCAAAUGGCGAACGUAGUGGAUGAGAAGCUUUUAGAAUUUCACAUUUCAGACUUUGGGGUUGUGUAAGUACCUGUAGGACCUGUGGCGAAGGAGUGGAAGGAGCAUAUCCCUUACCCUAAUAGAAGACUUUAUUUAUUUCUCUUACAUGUACUGUAAAGCCAUUUAUGUUGAUAAACAAUUUCAAAAUGAUAUACCGAUGUUGGUUAGUCACAAGCUACUGAAAAUUUUCCUAAAUA